ACCUUCCUGCUCCUCCUCCCCUCACCCGGCGGUGGCUCCCUACCCCUGCCUGCGUACCGCCUCUUCCUCCUUCUGACAGCGGCAGCGGUGAGCAUGAGAGCAGCGGAAGCGGCUGGACACCAUAAGCUGGCCGAGGUGGUCUACGUCGAGGAACGGUCGCGCCCGACGCCGUCCUCCAACCCGUACUUCCCAACCCGAUGCAUGCCCAAGGAUUCCGGCGCACCUCGAAGGAAGGACCAAGGCCUGGGACGACUUGUCUUGUCCUCUUCUUCCUCUAGCAUCUCCCUGCCGGCUGCUGCUUAUUAGGGAGGGAGGGGAAAAGAUAGAUGGCGGCGGCGGCUGGACCUGGCUGAGUUGUUUGGGGAGCUGCGCACACGUCGAGCGACGGCGAGCGCAUCCGACGCCGACACACCGAGAGUCCUCAUCUCCCGAUCUGUGUCCCUCAAUUUUCUAUUGGCCAAACAAAAGAUGCAAUCUAUCGUUGAAAGACCAACUUGUCCGCAAAAUACUUUGCAAACUGCGGCACGUUGAGCAAGGAGGUCUGUGCGAGUUAGAGGUUAUAUGAGACAAGGGCUUGCUCCUAUUAAAUGGAAGGGCCAUAAUUAUUAGUCCAAGUGAUAUUGAAGUUACAUUUGAGAAUUUUCCCUACUACCUUAAGUGAUGCUUUGACUUAAUGUUCCUUUGAUUUGCUUGACGUCUUAUGCUGUUUUUUAGCUUCUUCGUAUGCUUGACUAAUGUUCUGUCACGUAUUUAUACCUUUAUAUAUUUAUUGAUGUCCAUUUAUGCAGAGAGAAUUCGAAGGAUGUGCUCCUAUCAUGUUCAUUCUUACAUUUGGAAAAGAAGGGAUUCAUUGAGCAGUUCUCCGAAAUUUCUUCAAUAAACCAGCGAAUUUAUCAUCUGGUCCAUCAGGUUGUUUUGCGUACUGUGAUUGCCCUCUAUUCCACAUGGUCUAUGAGUUGCGAGGAUUUAGGGUCUAGGAACUGACAGGCUCUUGUUUCUGUUGCUGAUUAGAGCUUUGGUUAAGGUGCGUUCUUUUUUAGUGUAGCCAGCGUUCUGUUGUUGCUCCUGUGAUAAAUUGUUAGUUAGACUUGUGCUUAACUUGCGAUUCUUACAGAGAUGUACUUUCAGUGAGAAGAAAAGGCCAUAUUUUUUGCUAGCAAGGAUGUCGAUCUUGCAGCUUUCUGCGCAUAGUUUCAUUCUUAUCUUAUAUACUUUAUUUAUAGCAUAUAAAUACAGGAAUAUAGCCGUCCUAUGUUAGAGUAUGAAUUAGAAUCCAAAUCAGCAAUUGUAAAAAUGAACAAUAACUUCUAUUUCGUUAUAUAUGCAAUGUCCCCAAUUUUAUUGUUUUUCCUUUUUGCUUCUAUAGGAUUGCGAUCUAUACUUUCUCUGCCUUACGCUGAAUCUGAUGUUAUUCAUGCAUCUGAUGCCACUCAGAUUUUAGGAAUUUUAGGAUGGAUGGCAAGUUUCCCAUGUUGGAUGUUUCCUUACUUUCUCAAAUCUUUGUGAUAACAUAGGUGAUUCUGUUUCAACCUAAGCACUUGCCUUUCUAUGUUUUAGUUUCAAAAAUACACUAUUUGAGUCUAGAUGACCAUUAAUCACUUCAUUUCAUGUGGACAGAGGACUAAUAUUAUUGUUCCAAGAAGAGAAGCAACUACAUCAGUGUGUAGUAGUAGGUAUCAAUGUUUUCUCAUUCCGAUGAUUCUGAAGCGAGAUGAUUACUUUAUUCCCCUAUUUCUUUGUCCAUAGUCAUACCUCAGUGAGUUUCUCUAUUUCCUAUAGCUCUACUACUAUUUCCAUUGGAACAUGUCUCUCGGUUAUCCUUUAUAUAAUAUCAUGAACAGAGGCAAGAAUGAAACAUAUGCUUGAAUUAUGGUGUUGGUCUUAAGAAAAAUAUGUGAAUGGAAUAAGAAUUGUAUAUAGUUGUUGAUACAGUUUCUUGCGAUUUAAAUGACAGCUGCCUCAUGUUUGUAUGGAACAAGAGUUGCCUACUUCUCAUGAAUUAACAUAACAUCAUUUUAGUAGUUCUCUUGAAUUAAUGGAACAAAUAGAUUGGAAAGGCAUGUAUCAAUAAUGAAUGACAUUGCUUGGAAAUUUUUUACUAGGUAGUACAAAGUAUAUAUGUAGAAAUAUAGCAAAUGUAUAUAUAAUGUAAUCCUAAUUUACAUAACUUCUCUUCAGGUCCUAUCUGGAUUUGAACUUAUGAAGAACCCCAUGUUUGUUCAGAUAUGCACACAUUUUUGUCACCCAGAGUCUUUGCAUUUAGGUUAUAUUAUUGAUUCAGGUUUAGUUGUUUAGAUCAAAACUAUAAUAUUGCGUGUAGAUUGACAAAUUAUUUAUCACUUUGGGGACUCCGUUUUGUUCAUCAGAAAGUUUUUUUCCAGUGCCCCAAGAACUUGGCUUUGAUUUUCUUCCGAAAAUGAAUUGAAAUUACUACGAUUCAUGCAAAUUACUUGACAAAGUAAAAUGUUCUCUGCAUAAUGGAUAGAUGUACUAUCUGGAUAGUGGAUAAAUGUACCGAUCAUAGAUUCCUAUACGGAUCUGAGGAAAGUAUUCUCAUUUAUUUAGCAUGCACCCGCAAUCAUUCAGAUAUAGGUUGUUAUCCAAAGAACACAUUAUAUUGCCUUUGUUUUUACAUAAAGAUGUAGAUGUUGAGAAGUAUAUUAUUUUGAGUCGGUCUAUUGUGUAACUUCGGGUUCUUUCGUUUGUGUGGAUACAUUUGUAAAGAAGUGACAUGGCUUAGUAACCCAUAUUAGAUUUUGCCAUUGUAUAGGGAAUAAAGGUGAGAGAGCAAAUGAGUUUCCGAAGUCAGAUGAGAUUAUAUAGCAGGUUGACUCUUUGUAGUGCUGGUUUAGAUGUAGGCCAGGUUACAUGUUAGCCAAAAAAACACAUUAUAUUGCCUUUGUUUUUUACAUCUAGGUGUAAAUGUUGAGAAGUAUAUUAUUUUGAUUGAUAAUAGUUUGAGGAGCAUUACAAAGGAUCGCUACGAAGAAUUUGAAGGAUUCAAGGAAAUGUUUUCUUAGUCUUAUCCAUCACAUAACUUUGGGUUCUAUCAUUUGUGUGGCACAUACAUUUGUAAAGAAGUGAACCGUAUUUGCAACUCUAAAUUUUAAUCAAUACAAGUCGACAACUAAGUUGCCUGUUCUCUCA